rnacentral:rRNA from 1 species
UACGGGGGGGGCAAGCGUUGUUCGGAAUUACUGGGCGUAAAGGGCGUGUAGGCGGCCUGUUAAGUCUGAUGUGAAAUCCCCUCGCUCAACGAGGGAACUGCGUCGGAUACUGACAGACUCGAGUACCGGAGAGGAUAGUGGAAUUCCCAGUGUAGUGGUGAAAUACGUAGAGAUUGGGAAGAACACCAGUGGCGAAGGCGGCUAUCUGGACGGUUUCUGACGCUAAGACGCGAAAGCGUGGGGAGCAAACAGG